UACAGAGGGUGCGAGCGUUGUCCGGAAUCACUGGGCGUAAAGGGCUCGUAGGUGGCCAACUAAGUCAGACGUGAAAUCCCCAGGCUUAACCUGGGAACUGCGUCUGAUACUGGAUGGCUUGAAUUCGGGAGAGGGAUGCAGAAUUCCAGGUGUAGCGGUGAAAUGCGUAGAUAUCUGGAGGAAUACCGGUGGCGAAGGCGGCAUCCUGGACCGGCAUUGACGCUGAGGCGCGAAAGCUAGGGGAGCAAACGGG
rnacentral:rRNA from 1 species